GCCCGGGUGGCGGAAUCGGUAGACGCAGUGGACUCAAAAUCCACCGCUAGCAAUAGCGUGCCGGUUCGAGUCCGGCCCCGGGCACCA
rnacentral:tRNA from 1 species